GGUGACUGAGUGGCGAACGGGUGAGUAACACGUGGGUGACGUACCUCCAAGUGCGGCAUAACCCUGGGAAACUGGGACUAAUUCCGCAUGUGCUGCGGCCUUUUUGGGGCUUCAGUAAAGAUUUAUCGCUUGGAGAUCGGCCCGCGGUCCAUCAGCUAGUUGGUGGGGUAACAGCCUACCAAGGCGACGACGGAUAGCCGACCUGAGAGGGUGACCGGCCACAGGGGCACUGAGACACGGGCCCCACUCC
rnacentral:rRNA from 1 species